GCCCGGAUGGCGGAAUUGGUAGACGCAAGGGACUUAAAAUCCCUCGGGGUCUUCCCUGUGCCGGUUCGAUCCCGGCUCCGGGCACCA
rnacentral:tRNA from 1 species